UCGGACAUCAGGAGGUUAGUGCAAUGGCAUAAGCCAGCUUGACUGCGAGCGUGACGGCGCGAGCAGGUGCGAAAGCAGGUCAUAGUGAUCCGGUGGUUCUGAAUGGAAGGGCCAUCGCUCAACGGAUAAAAGGUACUCCGGGGAUAACAGGCUGAUACCGCCCAAGAGUUCAUAUCGACGGCGGUGUUUGGCACCUCGAUGUCGGCUCAUCACAUCCUGGGGCUGAAGUAGGUCCCAAGGGUAUGGCUGUUCGCCAUUUAAAGUGGUACGCGAGCUGGGUUUAGAACGUCGUGAGACAGUUCGGUCCCUAUCUGCCGUGGGCGCUGGAGAACUGAGGGGGGCUGCUCCUAGUACGAGAGGACCGGAGUGGACGCAUCACUGGUGUUCGGGUUGUCAUGCCAAUGGCACUGCCCGGUAGCUAAAUGCGGAAGAGAUAAGUGCUGAAAGCAUCUAAGCACGAAACUUGCCCCGAGAUGAGUUCUCCCUGACCCUUUAAGGGUCCUGAAGGAACGUUGAAGACGACGACGUUGAUAGGCCGGGUGUGUAAGCGCAGCGAUGCGUUGAGCUAACCGGUACUAAUGAACCGUGAGG
rnacentral:rRNA from 1 species